rnacentral:rRNA from 1 species
AGUGAACGCUGGCGGUAGGCCUAACACAUGCAAGUCGAACGGCAGCACAGUAAGAGCUUGCUCUUACGGGUGGCGAGUGGCGGACGGGUGAGGAAUACAUCGGAAUCUACUUUUUCGUGGGGGAUAACGUAGGGAAACUUACGCUAAUACCGCAUACGACCUACGGUUGAAAGCAGUGGAUCUUCGGACCUUGCGCGAUUGAAUGAGCCGAUGUCGGAUUAGCUAGUUGGCGGGGUAAAGGCCCACCAAGGCGACGAUCCGUAGCUGGUCUGAGAGGAUGAUCAGCCAGACUGGAACUGAGACACGGUCCAGACGCCUACGGGAGGCAGCAGUGGGGAAUAUUGGACAAAGGGCGCAAGCCUGAUCCAGCCAUACCGCGUGGGUGAAGAAGGCCUUCGGGUUGUAAAGCCCUUUUGUUGGGAAAGAAAAGCAGCAGGUUAAUACCCCGCUGUUCUGACGGUACCCAAAGAAUAAGCACCGGCUAACUUCGUG